rnacentral:rRNA from 1 species
AACGAACGCUGGCGGCAUGCCUAACACAUGCAAGUCGAACGAGACCUUCGGGUCUAGUGGCGCACGGGUGCGUAACGCCUGGGAACCUGCCCUUAGGUUCGGAAUAACUCCCCGAAAGGGGUGCUAAUACCGGUUAAUGUCUUCGGACCAAAGAUUUAUCGCCUUUGGAUGGGCCCGCGUUGGAUUAGCUAGUUGGUAGGGUAAAAGCAUACCAAGGCGACGAUCCAUAGCUGGUCUGAGAGGAUGAUCAGCCACACUGGAACUGAGACACGGCCCAGACUGCUACGGGAGGCAGCAGUGUGGAGUAUUAGAGAAUGGGCGAUAGCCUGAUCCAGCAAUGCCGCGUGAGUGAUGAAGGCCUUAGGGUUGUAAAGCUCUUUUACACGGGAUGAUAAUGACAGUACCGGGAGAAUAAGCUCCGGCUAGCUCCGUG